GCGCCCAUAGCUCAACGGCAGAGCAUCCGCCUCUUAAGCGGGAGGUUGAAGGUUCGAAUCCUUCUGGGCGCA
rnacentral:tRNA from 1 species